rnacentral:lncRNA from 1 species
AGGCUCUCCAACGCUAACUUAAAUGUUCAUUUUUCCUUCUGAAUAAAUUGCUAGACAUUCUUCUGCUGGACACAGAUAAGGGAAAAAAAAUUGACGCCAACCGACUCUAGCAGAUAACAACAAAUAAUAAUACAACUAUUGUUAUUAUAAUAUAAAAUGCAUAGAGGUGACAAAAUGGAAAAGAAAAGGUAACGUGUGAUUGUGAGAAUCUGGUUAAAUUUUAAUUUUUAAUACCACUUUACUAUUAGUAUUAGCAGUUUUAUUUAAAUAAAGUAGUCUGAAAUAAACCCCAUUAAAAUGAAAUUAAAGAAUUAUUUGCUAUCAAAUAUGCUGG